rnacentral:misc_RNA from 1 species
UUUUGCAAUCCAAAUAAAAUAAAUAAUAAACUAUGAAGAAAUUAAUUUCUCAAAAGUCGAGCUAUCAUAAAAUAACUACUAUUUAACAAGAGAAGCAUCAUCUUCUUCUUCAUCAAAGUUCUCUUCUUCAUUUCCUACAACUUCAUCAUCCUUUUGGUGUCGAUUGGAAGAGAGAGAUAGUAGUUGAGAAGGAAAGCAUAAGAAAAAGGAAAGAUCGAGAAAGAAUAAAAGAAAAGAAAACCCAAGUGGGUGGGAGAGAGAGA